rnacentral:rRNA from 1 species
AUAUCAGUAAGCGGAGGAAAAGAAACUAACAAGGAUUCCCUCAGUAACGGCGAGUGAAGUGGGAAGAGCUCAACUUUAAAAUCUGGGAGGAAUUUCCUCUCCGAAUUGUAGUUUAUAGAGGCGUUAUCUGAUCUAGUCAUCGUGCACAAGUCCUUUGGAAUAAGGCGUCACAGAGGGUGAGAACCCCGUUUGGGCACGAUCGGUUAGGUCUUCAUGAGGCGUCCCUGAGAGUCGAGUUGUUUGGGAAUGCAGCUCAAAGUGGGUGGUAAAUUCCUUCUAAAGCUAAAUAUUGGCCAGAGACCGAUAGCGCACAAGUA